rnacentral:misc_RNA from 1 species
GGUUCGAUCCUGGCUCAGAUUGAACGCUGGCGGGAUGCUUUACACAUGCAAGUCGAACGGCGGCACGGACUUCGGUCUGGUGGCGAGUGGCGAACGGGUGAGUAAUGUAUCGGAACGUGCCUAGUAGCGGGGGAUAACUACGCGAAAGCGUAGCUAAUACCACAUACGCCCUUCGGGGGAAAGCAGGGGACCUUCGGGCCUCGCACUAUUAGAGCAGCCGAUAUCCGGAUUAGCUAGUUGGUGGGGAGUAACGGCUCGCAGAGGCGACGAUCCGUAGCUGGUUUGAGAGGACGACCAGCCACACUGGGACUUUGAGACACGGCCCAGACUCCUACGGGAGGCAGCAGUGGGGAAUUUUGGACAAUGGGGAAACCCUGAUCCAUGCAUCCCGCGUGUGCGAUGAAGGCCUUCGGGUUGUAAAGCACUUUUGGCAGGAAAAAAACGGCACGGGAUAAUACCCGUGCAACUGACUGACGAUACCUGCAGAAUAAGCACCGGCUAACUACGUGCCAGCAGCCGCGGUAAUACGUAGGGUGCAAGCGUUAAUCAAAAUUACAGGGCGUAAAGCGUGCGCAGGCGGUUCCGGAAGAAAGAUGUGAAAUCCCAGAGCUUAACUUUGGAACUGCAUUUUUAACUACCGAGCUAGAGUGUGUCAGAGGAAGGUGAAUUCCGCGUGUAGCAGUGAAAUGCGUAGAUAUGCGGAGGAACACCGAUGGCGAAGGCAACCUCCUGGGAUAACACUGACGCUCAUGCACAGCGUGGGGAGCAAACAGGAUUAGAUACCCUGGUAGUCCACGCCCUAAACGAUGUCAACUAGCUGUUGGGGCCUUCGGGCCUUGGUAGCGCAGCUAACGCGUGAAGUUGACCGCCUGGGGAAGUACGGUCGCAAGAUUAAAACUCAAAGGAAUUGACAGGGACCCGCACAAGCGGUGGAUGAUGUGGAUUAAUUCGAUGCAACGCGAAAAACCUUACCUACCCUUGACAUGUCUGGAAUCCCGAAGAGAUUUGGGAGUGCUCGCAAGAGAACCGGAACACAGGUGCUGCAUGGCUGUCGUCAGCUCGUGUCGUGAGAUGUUGGGUUAAGUCCCGCAACGAGCGCAACCCUUGUCGUGGAUUGCUGAGGCACUCUAAUGAGACUGCCGGUGACAAACCGGAGGAAGGUGGGGAUGACGUCAAGUCCUCAUGGCCCUUAUGGGUAGGGCUUCACGUCAUACAAUGGUCGGGACAGGGUGCCAACCCGCGAGGGGCCCAAUCCCAGAAACCCGAUCGUAGUCCGGAUCGCAGUCUGCAACUCGACUGCGUGAAGUCCGGAAUCGCUAGUGAUCAUGACGGAUCAGCAUGUCGCGGUGAAUACGUUCCCGGGUCUUGUACACACCGCCCGUCACACCAUGGGAGUGGGGUUUUACCAGAAGUAGUUAGCCUAACCGUAAGGGGAGGGCGAUUACCACGGUAGGAUUCAUGACUGGGGUGAAGUCGUAACAAGGUAGCACCAGGGCAUCAGGUAGUAACGGAGAACACCUUGUUGCGACUUCGCCCCAGUCAUGAAUCUACCGUGUAUCCUUUUCGCUACGGUUAGGUAACGCUUCUGUGCCUCCCAUGUUGUGACAGACGUGUAAGACCCGGGGUGUGUUCGCCCGGCAUCCCGAUCACGACCUAGCACGAUUCGACUUCCGUCGAGUGCGGUGGACACGAUAAGUUUCGCUCCCAGCUUCUGUCCCGACGACCAGCGACGAUGUGAGCCGCCAAAGGGCAUGUGACGUCAUCCCGCGUGCCGGCAGUCUCAUUAGGUACUCGUAACAACUAAUGACGCAGGUGCGCUUCGUUGCUGGAUAACCCAACAUCUCGACACAGCUGACGGCUGUACCUGUUCGGGCUAUGCGCGGCACUGUCUAACCGAGUUCCAGGCAUGUCAGGAGCAGGUGCGCGUUACGUCAUCCACAUCAUCCCGCCGCCUGUGCCGAUUCCCACGUCAGUCCCUUUGAGUUUCCCCAGACGGUCAACUUCACGCGUUAGCGUCUUUCUGUAGUUGACAUCGUUUAGGGCGUGGACUACAGAGUAUCUAAUCCUAUUUUGCUCCCCACUUCGUGCGUGUCGAUGUUUUACUCCCAGGCUGCCUUCGCCAUCGGUCGCAUAUCUACGCAUUUCUGACAUACAGCUCGGUAGUUAAAAAUGCGGUUCAAAGUUAAGCUCUGGGAUUUCAUCUUCUUUCACGCGCAGUAAUUCCGAUUAACGCACGCCUGCCCGUGCGUGCGCUUCCGGUAAGCCCCUGCAGAACGCAGAUAUUUGCACGGGCUAUUCAUGAUCCCGUGCCGUUCUUUCACUGUACUUUACAACCCGAAGGCCUUCUGCACGCGGGAUCUCUUCCGAGGUUUCCCCAUUGUACAGGAGACGGGCGUGUCUCGGUAUCCCAGUUGUGAAAACGGUCACAAGCUGCAGAUCUCGCCUUGAGCCCUGGCUAACCAAUCCAUUAUCGGCCCUCUCUAUGCCGGGCCCCGCCCGAAAGGCGUAGCCGUAUUAUGCACUUUCGCGUGAGUUGUCCCCGCUACUAGGCGUUCCAGCCGACCAACUCACCCGUUCCGCCACUCGCCACGCGCAAAACCGAGUCCGUCUUCUUUGCGUGUGUCGGAACAUCCGCCAUGCAUGAUCGGCCA